rnacentral:rRNA from 1 species
AUUGAACGCUGGCGGAAUGCUUUACACAUGCAAGUCGAGCGGCAGCGCGGACUUCGGUCUGGUGGCGAGUGGCGAACGGGUGAGUAAUACAUCGGAACGUGCCCAGUCGUGGGGGAUAACGUAGCGAAAGCUACGCUAAUACCGCAUACGAUCGAAGGAUGAAAGCGGGGGAUCGCAAGACCGCGCGCGAUUGGAGCGGCGGAUGGCGUCAUAGGUAGUUGGUGGGGUAAAGGCUCACCAAGCCGACGAUCUGUAGCUGGUCUGAGAGGACGACCAGCCACACUGGGACUGAGACACGGCCCAGACUCCUACGGGAGGCAGCAGUGGGGAAUUUUGGUCAAUGGGCGCAAGCCUGAUCCAGCCAUUCCGCGUGCAGGAUGAAGGUCCUCGGGUUGUAAACUGCCUUUGUACGGAACGAAAAGGCUCUGGUUAAUACCUGGGGCUCAUGACGGUACCGUAAGAAUAAGCACCGGCUAACUACGUGCCAGCCGCCGCUGUAA